CAGUCCGGAAUGCGGUUCGAUAAAAUUGCUCCCCUUGUUUAUUUCGCUCUCCUGUCAAAUCAUGUAAUUUCGCUACCUCCAAUGGUAGACGCUACAACGAUGGGUGUCGUCAAGAAAGGUACGAUUAAAGGAAUCAGCUAGGAAUUAGACGAUCACCAUUGGUAUAGGUGAGUUGUUUAAUAGUUGUUGCUUUGGGAUAAAUGCAUGUUUUGGAUUAAUUCAUAAUCAGGAAUAGCUGGAAAGGAAAGAAACGUGUUGCUACGUGAACCCGGAAAGGCCGGGACGAAUUUAAAAAAAAAUCUAGAGACGAUCGUUCUGAGUGUGCCACCUACACGUUCAAACGUGUACACAAGCACAGUAUUCCCUAUCUAUGUAAUGUGUUUUCAUAAUUAUGUGAUAUAGGGCAAAAAAAGGUAGCAGUUUUUUGUGUCUUGUUGUUAAGCAUUUCCAGGGGAGAUAAUGUUAUUUUUCACGGUGUGUUUGAUAGGUUUGUUACAUUGUAACAUUAUAUAAUACACACUCAUAAAGUGGAUUAAAAUAGCCUCC
rnacentral:lncRNA from 1 species